GUUCCGUUUUAUUUCAAUUAACUGUCAGUUCAGGCUGUUGAGGGGCAGAUUCCAGGGGACAGUAAAUCCAAGUCAGCAAGAUUUCCCUGCAGGUGCACCUUGUAGGUCUCGUCAUUAUGACUUCAUCACGGCCUCAGAAGGCCCCACCUCCUCGUGCCAUCCCAAGGGGAGAUUUCAACCUGUGGAUUUGGGGGCACACGGUCAGACCAUAGCAACCUUCUACUGAUUGGAAAUGUCUCUGUUUUUGUCACCCCUGAUGCAGUAUGGCCUCGUGUACAAAAGGGGCUCGGUAUUUGCUUGCUGGACAAAUGAGUGUUUUGGGCAGGUUCCUCCCUCGGGCAGGCUCCUUCAUCCACUUCAUCCACAGCACACAAGAAGACCAGCGUGUUGCUCUGAGUUCCUCCCACCCUGGCUCUUCCCCUCUAAAGGCUGGUGGAGUAAAUCGAGAUGCAUGAAUUUUCUGCAACAAUAGCAAACAUCACCAGGAAAAUUGGAUUUCUCUGUUUGGUGGCCACAGCUUCAUCUCCUCUCUCUGGAAUAACUUCUGUGUCUUACAUGGCAGUCCAGUUCCACACAGCUUUUAGAACUGUGGAAGUCUGUGCAGCUCACAAGGAGUCAGAGCUCCACACCUACAAAAGCCAAAGGAUGAGACAAAGCCUCUGGAAAGUCCUCACCAAGAGCGGAGGGAUGCCAUCUGGAACAAAAUUGUCUCACCUUCACUCAAGCACCCACAAACGCUGAAGAUCAUUUUGAAAGGUUCUUCCUUCUAGAUUCCGGAAGUCUAUUCUACCC
ensembl:lincRNA